rnacentral:rRNA from 1 species
UACGGAAUGUGCAAACGUUAUUCGGAAUCACUGGGCUUAAAGAGUCCGUAGGCGGCAUGUUAGGUGAGGUGUGAAAUCCCCCGGCUCAACCGAGGAAUUGCGCUUCAAACCGGCGUGCUUGAGGAAGAUAGAGGUGGGCGGAACUGAUGGUGGAGCGGUGAAAUGCGUUGAUAUCAUCAGGAACACCGGAGGCGAAGGCGGCCCACUGGGUCUUUUCUGACGCUGAGGGACGAAAGCGAGGGGAGCGAACGGG